AACGAACGCUGGCGGCAGGCCUAACACAUGCAAGUCGAACGCCCCGCAAGGGGAGUGGCAGACGGGUGAGUAACACGUGGGAACGUACCCUUCGGUUCGGGAUAACUCAGGGAAACUUGAGCUAAUACCGGAUACGUCCGAGAGGAGAAAGAUUUAUCGCCGAGGGAUCGGCCCGCGUCUGAUUAGCUUGUCGGUGAGGUAACGGCUCACCAAGGCGACGAUCAGUAGCUGGUCUGAGAGGAUGAUCAGCCACAUUGGGACUGGGACAC
rnacentral:rRNA from 1 species